GGACCGUGCACCGGUUGCAAACCCUGCCGCCUAUACGAUCAUCGUGGUUCGCUGUUUCUCCUCGAGGCGAGGCCCGAUUGGUCCACGAGUACGGCGACGUGUGCGAAACGGGUGGCCGGUUUUGAACUCCACGGUCGCUCGCCGAUCGAACCAUUCGGCGAAUUUCAGGACUAGAGAUGGGAUCGAGUGCCUCACAAGUAGCCUCGAAUCUUUAAUACAAGUUUAUAAGUGCUUAUAAGGCACUCGGAAAGUAUUUUUAAUGAUAAUGGUACUUCUGAUGGUACUUUAUAGUCGAAUUAUAGUGACGUAUGUUUCGCGAAUACUUGCAGAAAAAUGAAGAUGACAGUUUCAAGUAAAUUCGAACACUGAUUGAGUCGAAUCUCUGGUCGUUGGAUACUAUUUAUAAGUACUUGGNAACUCUAAAUGAUAAUGACAGUUUCAAGUAAAUUCGAACACUGAUUGAGUCGAAUCUCUGGUCGUUGGAUACUAUUUAUAAGUACUUGGAACUCUAAAUGAAGACGAUACUUUCAAACAAAUUCGAAUACUGGUGAAUAGAGAUGGGACUAUCUCACAAGUAGCUUCAGUCGUUGAAUACCACUCAAAGUGGCAUUCGAAACCCGUGAAAUGAAACUAGAUAUCGCACUUGACUCGGAUUCGCAGCUAUACGUAUCGCACUUGAUCCCAUCCCUAUUCACAACAGCUGACGCUGCUUCGCGAUGAUACGUAGGUUACGAUAACGGUACCGAAGAAAGCUAGUUUCCAACAGUGGUCCAGGCUAACCAUGAUUGAUGUCCGGGGUCUAGACGACCGCGAUCUCGCGUUGCGUGAAUUCAGCUUCCACCGGGUGUAUUGAAAAUUCAAUGGGACGGGUUGAAUUUUCGGAUAUUGGAGCAAACAGUGUCGGACAGUACAGUAAAUUUACGUUACGAUGUGGUUGUACUCUUGGUAAUGUGUUCUACAUAGUACGCGAAAUAUAAUUACCGAAUAUGUAUGGGAUCACAGAGAAUCAAGGGAGGAAUGGAAAUGAAGAACAGGAAUCAGUUUUGUGAACUGAAUAGAGAAUAGCAGAAUACAAAUAUCACUGCUUGGAUUUAAACUUUUCUUGGGAGGCAACAAUAGAAACAACAUCAAGUAUUCCCCUUUUUAUUCUUCCAAAAUGAAUACAUUCGUAAGCAAUUGUACGUCACUAUCGACAAGAGAGAAGUUCGAAUUGAAUUUGUGCCUUGGUUAAACAAUUUUGCGUUAAGAAACGAAAUAUCUAAUAAUUAACUAAAACUAUCUAAAGAGAUACAAAUGUGAAAAAUUCUUUUGCCUCGUGUUGGUUCGCGAGAUGAUCAUUUUCAUU